GCCCACGUAGCUCAGCAGGCAGAGCGUCGCCUUGGUAAGGCGGAGGUCGCCGGUUCGAGCCCGGUCGUGGGCUCCA
rnacentral:tRNA from 13 species